rnacentral:rRNA from 1 species
UACAGAGGUGGCAAGCAUUGUUCGGAUUUAUUGGGCGUAAAGGGUCCGUAGGCGGUUUGAAAAGUCAGAUGUGAAAUCCCGCAGCUCAACUGCGGAACUGCAUUUGAAACUUUCAGACUAGAGUAUGAGAGGGGUAAAGGGAAUUCCCGGUGUAAGGGUGAAAUCUGCAGAGAUCGGGAGGAACACCAGUCGCGAAGGCGCUUUACUGGCUCAUUACUGACGCUCAGGGACGAAAGCUAGGGUAGCAAACGGG